UACGUAGGGUGCAAGCGUUGUCCGGAAUCAUUGGGCGUAAAGCGCGCGUAGGUGGCUUCGUAAGUCCGUUGUGAAAGUCAAAGGCUCAACCUUUGAAUGCCGAUGGAUACUGCGAAGCUAGAGUACGGAAGAGGCGAGUGGAAUUCCUGGUGUAGCGGUGGAAUGCGCAGAUAUCAGGAGGAACAGCCGGUGGCGAAGGCGGAUCUCUGGGCCAUUACUGACGCUGAGGAGCGAAAGCGUGGGGAGCGAACAGG
rnacentral:rRNA from 1 species